CUGACAAUUUUUGAGAGUUUUGUUCUCAGUAAUAUUUGGACGGUUUAUGAAGCUGCACAUAAUAAGUAUUGCCACGUGAGUUACUUUCAAAGGGAUUCUGAACGGUUCAGUCGAAUUGCAAGAAGAGUGGUAAUGUCUGAUAAAGUUAACUUUGUGGGGACCUUUGACGUGUCUCUACUAAUGUCGAAUUGGCUGCCUCUUUAUAAAUCUGUGUUCGGUUCUUUGUGGUUUGGGUGUUUUAGAUGUUGUUGUUGAGUUUUUGCCUUCGCCCUUGGAUUUGGACUGUCGUAGGGUUAGUAGGCUAUUGGGAGGAAGAGAGGUGUCUGGUGAUGUGAUGGAUGGUGUAUUGUUUUAUUCAAUGUGUAGAAUUGACUAAUAUUACUCCUAAUGGGAAUAGUUUGGUUGCUUUUAUGAGCAAACUAGUUUUCGUCCCACUAAACGAACUCCCACGAAAAUAUCAAAUAUUGGUUAACCAAACGGAAUCAAAUAUUGUUGAGUUUUGUAUUGGUUUUACGCGGUCAUUUUGUGGGACAAUUCGAAAGGGGGACUCUCUGUUUAUUUUGGGACCAAAACAUGACAGUCGACUGAUUGAGGACUCGUCCACACUCCCUGUCUCAUAUAAGCAUGGAAAGAAGAUUAAAAUAGAGAAUUUGUUUAUUUUUAUGGGCCGGGAACUGAUUCCUGUCGACAUGGUCAGUCCGGGGAAUAUUUUUGGGUUCUCAUGGAGUGAGUCAAGUCGAUUUAUGAAGACGGCCACAUUGUCAGACAGGGCAGAUCUCCCCCCUUUGACUCCCCUCUACUACGAGACAACUCCCAUUCUGGCAGUCUCGGUGGAGCCUGAGAAUAUUGGUGGUCCCAUUGCCCUCAUUGUAGACGAUAUGAGUGCUCUGAAGGAGGGGCUCGAGUUGCUGUAUUUGUCAGACCCCUGUGUGGAGACACACGUGACUAAUUUGGGGGAACAGGUCAUCAGAGUGGCUGGGCAGUUGCAUCUGGACAAGUGCAUUGAGGA